rfam:Lepisosteus oculatus linkage group LG7, whole genome shotgun sequence.
GCCGGGUGCGGUGGCGCGCGCCUGUAAUCCAAGCUACGGGGAGGCUGAGGCUGGCGGAUCGCUUGAGCUCAGGAGCUCUGAGCUGCGGUGGGCUAUGGCGAUCGGGUGUCCACACUAAGCUCGGUAUCGAUAUGGUGCUCCUGGGGGAGCCCGGGACCACCAGGUCGCCUAAGGAGGGGUGAACCGGCCCAGGUCGGAAACGGAGCAGGCCAAAGCCCCCGUGCUGGGCAGUAGUGGGGUCGCGCCUGUGAAUAGCCUCUGUAGUUCAGCCUGUGCAAUACAGUGGGACCCAGUCUUUU